rnacentral:rRNA from 1 species
GUCAAGUCAUCAUGGUCCUUACGUCCAGGGCUACACACGUGCUACAAUGGCCGGGACAAACCGGAGCGAUGCCGCGAGGCGGAGCGAAUCGGAAAAACCCGGUCUAAGUUCGGAUUGCAGUCUGUAACUCGACUGCAUGAAGGUGGAAUCGCUAGUAAUCGUGGAUCAGCUACGCCACGGUGAAUUCGUUCCCGGGCCUU